CACGUAGUUGGACACUUGAACACCUCGUCGUACACCGCUCCCACUUCAAAAAGGUCCACCUUAGAGAGAUUGAUAGACAGAGAGUAGCAACUAUAGCACGGCAGAGACAGAGAGAGAGAGGAGCGGCGGAGAUGGAGGAACCGGCCAUCGUCUCCCGUCGGCCACCCUCUUGGCCUUCAGUCAGACGGUGGUGGGUUGUGGUGGUUAGUUUGUAUAGAAAAAGAGAAGCUGAGGAAUCAAAAGGUACGGUGGUUGGCGCCGGCGGCAUCCGUGGGCGGAGGCCAUCCUGUACUCACCACCUCUCAUUAAGACAGAUAGAGAAACCAGAGGUCACACCGCACCGACGCAAUCUACGGCAUCGACGGUGGUAUUGGGUUCUCCAGUCACCGCACCAACUGUCAACAGUCGGGUUCCAAGUGGUGGAUAAUUUUGGGUAUUGUUUGGAUUUCUAUAGGAAUAAAUUCAUACAUAAUGAAUUCCUGAGAAUUAAGCAGGUAAUUCCACAAUAUAUUAGUAUUAUAUUCGUAUAGCAAUAUCUGGUUUCCAGUCAUUUGCUGUGUUAGCAACUAAAAAGUGAUGAUGAUUUGAGUUCUAGUGUUUGUUAUUCUCAUACUUUUCCCCAAAUUCAAAGCAAAACGAUACCUUUUUUCCUUUUGUUUUUUGACCAUAACUUGUCGAAUUGCUAGGUAUUUCUAACAUGCAUACGUGAGUUGUAACUAAAAUAGAAAUCUGGAUAUUAAACUUACCACAAGUUUUUGAUCAUUUUAGUUAAACAACUAAUUCUAUUCUGAAAUUGAAGCGUUUAAUUUUCUUAUUCCUUUUUUUCGUAAUUUUUUAGCAGUGAGAGUAAUACAUUCUGUGUAUUUAACAUGAGCAUAAACAAUUAUCUUCAAAUUUGUUAUUGAAAUUUGUCUAUUUAAUUCUCAAAAUGAAUGUUUUUGUGUUAGUUUUGGAAUGCAAGGAGAAGGAUGUUCAUGAGUAAUUAAUUAGCAUGUAUUUGGGAUUGUGAUGUUAUUCUCUAAAGAUGAUUAUUAAUGCGUGGGCUGUUGGUAUUCGCUGUGAUUUGGGCAAUGGCUUAUUUGGGCUGUGAAGCCACAUUGCUAAAAUUCCACUGCUUCCCGUUCCAUAAUCUUUUGCAGUGGACAGAAAAACAGGAGAAAGAGAGAGAGUGGCGGUGAUGGAGGAACUGGCCAUGGUCUCCGGCCAGCUGCCCUCUUGUCCUUUUUGGGGGUUUCAACCUCCAUUCGACCACUGAAGUUUUAGCGAGUGUGUUUUAGGUGACGACGUCUAGGGUUCUAGCGAGGUUUUGGCCUGUCACCUACCCGGUGAUGAUGGUGAGUUGCUAUUUGGUGUGGCAACUCCGGUUGCAACCAUAGCACCACUGAGCCGACUUCUCUUGACAACGAUGAGGAAGUGUGACAUUUUUUCUCUUUUACAGCGACGAUGACGGUCUUUUCGGAUCUGAUUCUAUUGGUGUUGGUGAUUUCGUUUUUGGUCACCGAAGUUCAAGGCAAAAUAUUGUUCCAGUUUCAGUUUUAGACUCAUAAGCUGUAAAAAACUCACGAAGGCUGUGAUGACUGGUAGGCGCCAUUGCUUGGCUGGCAUAAUCAAGGACGUUGCAGCUUCUUAAUUGGAAGUUAAUAUUCAUGUUAUCAACUCAAAAGAGGACAAAAACAAGGUCAAGAACAUGUAUAUGAAGUGAUCAAGAUUUUGAUGGGUUGUUGGAAUAGAUGGGGAUUUAUUGGCAGCUCUGUUCUUCAGGAUUUAGGUUUGAUAGCUCCACCUGUCACUUCACUUCAUUAUGUAGGGGCUUGGGUUAAUUUAAAUAUUUCAGUAUGCCACAUUGGACCCUCUGAGCUUGAUGAUGAAUCAACUGUAGAUUUCGGACUUUGGUUCUGCAACGGAUGAUUUCAGAACUGAUUUGGCUAUUAGCAAGCAAAUAAUAAUACUCUCCUCCUCUUUGAAGGGUUUCUUGAUGGUGUUCUUCUUCAGCUUUUGCCACAUUUCGUUUUGCCCACAAAGCGCAAGUGCAGCCAUUUUCGAAGUCAUAGCUUAUGGGCCAAAAGGAGAUGGAAAUACAGACGACACUGUUGCUUUCUUUUGAGCAUGGGUUGGUUUUUGUAACAACAGCCCGCGCAACCCCGACGAUGGUCAUGCCGCUAAGGAAGUUGUUUCAAAUAGGCCCUGUUACAUUCAGUGGUCCGUGCAAAUCCCCUGCAGUGAAUGUUCAGGUCCAAUGAUAUCUAAAAGAAUUUCGAAGCUGAAACAAAGAGACUUCAUAUUUAUCUGUAAUAAUACGAGUUAUAAAAAGUGGGUCCCUGACCGGACGAGUGAGUUAUGCUUGUCGUCCGUGAACCAGAAUGUAAUGCUAAACUAAUUAAACAUUUAAACCCACCCGAGCCUAUUUUGAACAUAACCCCAUUUCAUCCAAACCAUACUGAACAUGAAUUUUAGGCGGCCCAUUUCGACCCGUUACCCAAACUGAUCCACUCAGGGCUUUGAGCGUAUUCAUGUCGGUACCCAUUCAGGAUGUAAUUUGUGUAUAAAACGUUUGUAACAGUUUGUUUUUGCACGCCGCAACGCGCGUGAGGUUAAAUCCCUAGUUUAAAUUAAAUUCUCAACGUUUUGAACAGUAACUUUUUUUCUUUUUAAUAUUUUAUUUUCAUAUUAUAAUAAUAACAGUUAUUUUCUUACUUUUUAAGUUGAAUAAGCUUUGUGUCAAUCGAUACUUGUAUCGAAAAUACAUGUAUUAUCUGGUUCGUUAGCGGUACAUGAAGGUAAAAACCGGCACCAGCCUGUUACAUACACGAAGGUAAAAACCAGCACCAACCUUUUACAGAAAACCCCAAAAGUCAGUACCGAAAUGAUUUUGAAAAUCUUUAUAGUUUGGGAAAUUCGGUACUUCUACCCGGUACCAUUUGCUCAUCUCCGAUCAUAGGUACCGUACAAACAACAACGGUAUCAUGCAACUUUUUUUGUUGAUUUUCUUCAACUUUUAAUGAUUUCUUUUUUUCAGUUUCAGGGGUUGGGAUGAGCUCGGUGCCAACCGAUAUCGAUACCGAAAAUACCGCUUACGGUACCGGUAUAUGAAGGUAAAAACCGGUAGGCGCCAAAAGUAGGUACUGAUUUUGUACUUAAGAUCUUUUUGCUCGGGAAAUUCAGUACAGGUACCCAAUACCAUUUGCUUAUCUCUGACCACGGGAACCUUAUAUGAACAAAAUCAUUACCAUAAAAUUUUUUUGGUUGAUUUU